rnacentral:rRNA from 1 species
GACGAACGCUGGCGGCGUGCCUAAUACAUGCAAGUCGAACGCAGUGGGGAUGGGUGAGUAACACGUGGGUAACCUCCCCUCAGAGGGGAUAACACUUGGCAACGGGUGCUAAACCGAUACUGAUGGAUGUACUCGCGGUGGAUUAGCUAGUUGGUGAGGUAACGGCUCACCAAGGCGACGAUGCAUAGAUGUGCUGCGAGGAUGACCAGCCACACUGGGACUGAGACACGGCCCAGACUCCUACGGGAGGCAGCAGUAGGGAAUAUUCGACAAUGGACGAAAGUCUGACGGAGCAACGCCGCGUGAAUGAAGAAGGUUUGCGGGUUGUAAAAUUCUGUUGGCAGAGAGGCGGUAUCUAAAGAGGAAGCCACGGCUAACUACGUGCCAGCAGCCGCGGUAAUAC